ACCACUUGCCCAGAGACCUCGAGAAAAACCAGACGGGUGUUCCUCCAUCUUUAAAGCCAAAAAAAUGGCCGCUGGGUCUAAGCAGAUACAGCCUUCAUUCAUUCAUUCAUCUCUCAAGCAUCUUGCAUCGGGCAUGGGGCAUGGACAAGAAAUGUGACCCAGUCCCCGUUCUCAAGAAACUCGUCUAAAGCAGGGGGAAAGAGCAAUCAAUUAGCAAGUGACAAAAGCCACAUCUUUAUCCCAGCUCUGCAUCUUGGUUGGAUCUGGGAGGCGCCAAGGAAGCAAGCAAAGUGCAGUGCCAGUUCUACCACCCACCGUCAGAGGCUGCUGUACGGUAAAGAAGCAUGGGAGUCUGCCCCUGGGCUUCUCCUGGCGGUAUCAGAAACACGGCCACACUCCACUCCCGUCUUGGAUCCCAGACCCUUCAGCUCCCAAAAGAGACAUAUUUGCUCAUGGAUGUAUCCCCGGCACCUGGAACAAUGCCUCCCAUCUCGUACAUACUCAUUAAAGACUUGCAAUAAUUACUUCUUUAAUUAAUCGACCAACUCAUUAAUUAGUUAAUACACUUGCCUUGAAAUCUUUGAGGCCUUCAGCGGCCAUCAGCUCUGGGGAUUGACUUAUGUUUGCUGAUUUUUGGAGUUCUUGGAAAUUAACUAACUAACUACAAUCUGGGGUCUGUCCUUAGCCUGACACCACCCUCUUCUUUGAUACCCAGCUUCCCUCAGCAAGGACUGACUCGCCUUGACCAUCUCACCCAAUCUAACUUUCAAAUCUUCAAGGUCCAAAUGUACGUGACGCUUACCCAAGAGAGCCCCCAAGGCCGCAGCAAGAGUGUUUUCAUGUCACGCCACACUGUCACUUGACAAGAGAAAGACAGAGAUGAAAGGAUAUCUGAGACACGUGACCAGCCAUGACCUUGCUAGGGGGUAGUCACAUCCGAUGGGGGGAGGUGGGCAGUGACCUAAGAAGUUGGAGAAAAGAUGUUUCAUAAUGUUUCAGGGAGAGGCUUUGCCAGGACAAGGCAAAACAAAGAUGCAGGAGAAAAAGAAAGAUAAAAGACAGUACAGUAUUAUCAAUCCUGAAUAUUCACUGGAAGGACUGAUGCUGAAGCUGAAGCUCCAAUACUUCGGCCACCUGAUC